AUCUAAUUUUUGGAAAGCAAAAUUGAGGCUCAUGAUUUAGCUUAAACCGUCCACUACAUCCAAUUAAAGGAGAGAGAAAAGCAUACAAAGCAACAUGUUUAAUUGAAUAUUGAAGGUUUUUAAUCUUCAUCAAUUCCACUUCGUUUUCCAUCAAUACAGUUGGGAGCCUUUAAUUUCACAGCUCCUCAAUUUGUUUCUAUAAAUUAUGGACUCAUACUAGCAACUUUCAUCAUCUUUACCAUACACCUGUUCAUUUCGUUGUGUCUUCCCCUUCCAUUUUUCUUCAACUCAAGGAUGACUAGAGAAAGGACUUUCAUGGUGGGUUCAGAAGCGUCAAAGGAAACCUCCAAUCCUACUAUGCCCAAGGCUGCUGAUUCAGCUGCGCUAUUCUCCCAAACAAAUUCAGAUGUUAAAUAACUCACCAUGGAUGAUUGAGAGAUGGAAAUUGAGGUAGUUGUGGUGUCAAAAUAAUAUGUUGAUGUGUUACAAGAGAUGUUGGCAAAGGAAUAAGUAUCAAAUGGCGUCCUCACUAUGACUGCAACCCAAGACCAUCCGAAGACCUUCAAUCUCUAAGACGUCCCGCAAGACCUCCAGGUUUUGGGAUACUGCGCACCGGAUCAAGCAUCAUUUUCUUUAGUCAACUUUCAAUAUUGGUGAUUUUAGAAGAUGUUUUUUUUGUUUUGGAGAUGGAGAUUAUGCGUGUUAUGUUUUUACCUCUCCUUGAUUGAAGGAUAAUAUAUGGGCUGCUAUCCCAAUUUGGUCCCGGUGUUCUUUAUUUCGUCAUUAUUAUACUCAGGGAUCUUUAGAAAAUCAUUCUUUAGGCUUGUGGUUGUCAAAUGGUUGAAAUUGAAAGCAUGUAUUUUUUCUUUUUAUGUGGUUGAUUUUGUUUGAUCUUAAAGUUUCAUGGGUAUUGCA